rnacentral:rRNA from 1 species
GAUGAACGCUGGCGGCGUGCCUAAUACAUGCAAGUCGAGCGAACAGACGAGGAGCUUGCUCCUCUGACGUUAGCGGCGGACGGGUGAGUAACACGUGGAUAACCUACCUAUAAGACUGGGAUAACUUCGGGAAACCGGAGCUAUUACCGGAUAAUAUAUUGAACCGUAUGGUUCAAUAGUGAAAGACGGUUUUGCUGUCACUUAUAGAUGGAUCCGCGCCGCAUUAGCUAGUUGGUAAGGUAACGGCUUACCAAGGCAACGAUGCGUAGCCGACCUGAGAGGGUGAUCGGCCACACUGGAACUGAGACACGGUCCAGACUCCUACGGGAGGCAGCAGUAGGGAAUCUUCCGCAAUGGGCGAAAGCCUGACGGAGCAACGCCGCGUGAGUGAUGAAGGUCUUCGGAUCGUAAAACUCUGUUAUUAGGGAAGAACAAAUGUGUAAGUAACUAUGCACGUCUUGACGGUACCUAAUCAGAAAGCCACGGCUAACUACGUG